UUGCCAUGAGCAGCCGGGAGGAUGGAGUUGCAAUCAUUGGAGAUGGAGAAAGCUGUGAGAGGAACACAGAGUGAAAUAAAAUACUACUUUCUUAAUGGACUGAGCAACCAUAAGAUGACAAAUGUGACACACUGAGAGGGCAAUGUGACUGCAAUAUACAAAGUGCCUCCUCAUGGACCAGAGAUAGGAUUCCAGAUUUCUACAUUGCACUACUGACAAUUUCAUGUGUAACAAGCCUAAGCUAGAAGCGUAUGACACAAGAGCAUACUAAAAGAAGACACCCAUUGGAUUUCGAUGCAGUUGGCAAACACAGUGAUGCUGCAUGCACCAAAAAAUGAAUAGAGAUAUGUUGUUGAAGCAAAUUUCAUCCACAGAAGAAACAUUCAUUCAUUUAACAAACAUUCAUAAAACAUCUACUAGGUGUCGAGUGAAUAAAACAGUCGAAUCCCUGCCCUGUUGGAGCUUAAAAUGUGUGCUACUAUCUCUGAACAGUAUAAGGUCAAGCAGUCAACAAAGGCACGCAUUCAUGAGCACCAACAUUUUUCAAAAUAUAAUCUCCAUCACGUUACCAGAAUAUAUUUAAAUGUGACAGGGGAGUCACCUUACUGAUGUUCAUUUCCAUGAUUAUAAGAAAACAGUGAAGACUACAGUAAAUUAAGAAAUUCAAUGGAAAAAGUGUGAUAUUCUGAUUUUAAUGGUCAUUCUCACUGCUGCAAAGCAAACAGAUUAAAUAGAGAUCCUAUCACACAUAGCUGGUGUGUGCGUUUUAAUUUUUACAUAUAAAGGGCUUUCAGUGACACUAUACAAGUAUGAGGAAAACCACCAAACAACUUUGUUUUA